GUCAUUUUUUUCUCCUGACGUCUGCCUGUAACGGUCGAAUUCGCCAUCAAACACGUGUUUCUAUUUUGACGUUGGAUCUCGUUUUAAAUACGAGAACACGUCAUAAAAAUACUACGAUUCUUUAAAACCUAAGCCUAAUUAUGUGACGAUUGAAACUAGGAUCUGAUCUGCCUUCCAUUUCAAGCCACCAUUUUGCUCAAGUCGGAUUCUUUAAGGAGAGGUUCCACUGCUAUUACUACUACUACAAGUUUUGUUCAACGCCUUGAAAAACUCGCUCUACAAAAUUGUCCAAUUUCAGGGGUGUAUUCCUUCACGAGGAAAAACGACUAAUCAGGGGAGUAAAUUAGCGAGAAUGGAGAGGGUUCAACUCCAAUCUGAACAAUUCCAAGGACUAUUAGAAUUAUAAUUUAUGGGAAUACUAAGAAAAGUCAGAAGAAGCAGACUCGACAUCAUCUUCAGAUCUAACCUCCGCAAGACCACCGGGAACAUCCUAUAGUUCUGCCCAAAGCUCAAGAAGUAAGCUUUACUUAUCUCUGUCUUUAUAAUAUAAUAAAUAUAGUUUGGUAAGAAAAACACAUUAUUAUAUAUUAUGUAGCAAUAAAAAUAAACAACUAUUUUUAGGUUGUUAGAGGAUUUGGUAUAAAAAGUUCUGUCUUAUAAAUCUAGGCAUAAAACCAUCAACUGGCAGAAACAUUAAAAAAAAAAAAAAAUCAGACGAAUGCGAGCUUUCUGAAUUACUAAGAAAAGAUGCAUGAACACCCAACGUUUGACCUAAGAUGUAUUAAUAAAAUUGGAAGGGAAGAGAAAAGCCUUGGAGUUACCUAAACAAGUCAGUAACUAUAACUUCGAAAAAAGCUUCAAUUGAAAUUCUUAACCAAAAUUAUCAUGUCUGGCCCUUGCAAUUAAUGCUUUUUCUGGAGAAAUAAUUCCAAAAAACUUCAAUACGAGAACAGUAUGUAAAUAAAUAGAUGUUAUUUUCUUAUAUUUUUUGUAUGCCUAUUAUAUUGAAUUUUUAUUCAA